rnacentral:rRNA from 1 species
CACGUAGGAGGCAAACGUUAUCCGGAUUUACUGGGCGUAAAGCGCGUGUAGGUGGUUCUGUAAGUAGGGCGUGAAAGCUCCCGGCUCAACUGGGAGAGGCCGUUCUAAACUGCAGAGCUAGAGGAUGGUAGAGGGAGGUGGAAUUCCAGGUGUAGCGGUGGAAUGCGCAGAUAUCUUGAGGAACACCAGUGGCGAAGGCGGCCUCCUGGACCAUUCCUGACACUCAGACGCGAAAGCUAGGGUAGCAAACGGGAUUAGAUACCCCUGUAGUCCCU